rnacentral:lncRNA from 1 species
GGCGAGUCCCCGGGUACGCAAGGCUAAAACACGAGAAAGACAAAGCUCCUCCCCGGCAAGCUAGUCUUAAGCAAAGAAGCAAGUAAAAGUAGCAUUGGAUAUAUACCAAAGCUUGGACAAAACAAGUUGACGAGUAACACUGAUAAUGACAAAGGAAAGCUAACAUAAAAAGUUCUAAGGCGUCACGUGCCACUUGCGGGGAAAUAAAAAAAAAGAGCAGGAAGGGAACUACGCGGG